UCCGACUUACGCCGGCAGUCUCGCUAGAGUCCUCGGCAUUACCCGUUAGCAACUAGCGACAGGGGUUGCGCUCGUUAGAGGACUUAACCCGACACUUCACAGCACGAGCUGACGACAGCCAUGCAGCACCUGUGCACGUUCCACCCUUGCGGGUGUCAUCCCUGUUUCCAAGAACUAAUCCGUGCAUGUCAAACCCAGGUAAGGUUCUUCGCGUUGCUUCGAAUUAAGCAACAUGCUCCACCGCUUGUGUGAGCCCCCGUCAAUUCCUUUGAGUUUUAGCCUUGCGACCGUACUCCCCAGGCGGCGCAUUUAUCAAUUUCUCUACGACCAAUACAGGGUCAGACCUGCACCGGUCUAAUGCGCAUCGUUUAGGGCGUGGACUAC
rnacentral:misc_RNA from 1 species